GGUCCUGUAGGUGACGACAUGUUCCACUGGCAGGCAACAAUCAUGGGGCCCUCAGACAGCCCGUUCACAGGUGGUCUAUUUUUGGUGAACAUUCAUUUCCCACCGGAUUACCCCUUCAAGCCCCCCAAGGUAAUUUCCGGUGUACCAAGCUAA
rnacentral:rRNA from 1 species